rnacentral:rRNA from 1 species
GAUGAACGCUAGCGGGAGGCUUAACACAUGCAAGCCGAGGGGUAUAUUUCUUUCGGGAGAUAGAGACCGGCGCACGGGUGCGUAACGCGUAUGCAACUUGCCCUACUGAAAAGGAUAGCCCUUCGAAAGGAGGAUUAAUACUUUAUAAUAGAAAUCAUGGCAUCAUGAAUUUUUGAAAGAUUUAUCGCAGUAGGAUAGGCAUGCGUAAGAUUAGUUAGUUGGUGAGGUAACGGCUCACCAAGACGAUGAUCUUUAGGGGGCCUGAGAGGGUGAACCCCCACACUGGUACUGAGACACGGACCAGACUCCUACGGGAGGCAGCAGUGAGGAAUGUUGGACAAUGGGUGGAAGCCUGAUCCAGCCAUCCCGCGUGUAGGAUGACGGCCUUAUGGGUUGUAAACUACUUUUAUCUGGGGAUAAACCUACUCACGUGUGAGUAGCUGAAGGUACCAGAAGAAUAAGCACCGGCUAACUCCGUGCCAGCAGCCGCAGUAACAC